UCUCCCGGGCGUUAUCUUAGUGUUGGGGCUUACGGUUUCACCUGACCGUCUUUCUCUCACCACUGUUGUCGAUCUCUCUGCGUCGUUUACCGUCUUUCUUGCGGUUCGAUUUAGGGAAGGCCUGGGCGAUGGGGGAGGACGGCUCGCAUUAAAGCUCUUGGCGUGAGGGAAGAACGAGUGGAAGCCUGCAAGAGCUUGGGGUGGAAGUUCCCUACGAAGAUCCAAGUCGAGGCGAUUCUCUAUUCCCCUGAAGUUAGCAGGACCUUCAAAUGUCUCAAUUUUGUUUGUCAGAUGACUGAAUGGGAGAUUCAUACGGAUAACUGAAAGGACUUUAUGUUGGUUGGUAGGGAAAGAUUUUUUCGGACCGGCACAAACAGAAUUGCAUGUAUUGACAAUCUGGGCUAGUGAAUCAGCACCAGGUGGAUGUUAUGUACAGAGAGUAUUUCAUCGGAAGAAAACUACCAGGGUACUGUAGUCAGUGAAUGAAACUGAAGUGGGACAUGGAUUGGAUGCCAAGAUGAUUGCUCUGAUGAAAAUCAAGGAAAGCAAUAGCAGCAAAAAAGAGGAAAAAUGUAGAAGACGAAGAAGUUGAGUAUGGUGUGAUCCGUAAGAGGGUAAAAGGACCAAGAGAUUGAAAUGGCAAUAACAUGCAGAAGCUGAGGAGCAUGAUACAAAGAAAAAUAUGAGCUGAUCAAAGAGCUUGACCAUUUUUCUUUUUUUUUGUGUUAAUUUUCUUUUCAAAGCUGGUCUUAUGAUUCUGAUGACCAUAUCUACUGAAGUUUUUAAUGUUUAAUCUCUCCAAAGAGAACCUUGUAUACGUUUAACUGUAUAUGGAGCAGUGAUUAUUUUGGGAUCGACUAUUA